AUACGGAGGGUGCAGGCGUUACUCGGAAUCACUGGGCGUAAAGCGCGCGCAGGCGGCUAUUUAAGUUGGAUGUGAAAGCCUACGGCUCAACCGUAGAACUGCAUCCAAAACUAUUUAGCUAGAGUGUGGGAGAGGAAGAUGGAAUUAGUUGUGUAGGGGUAAAAUCCGUAGAGAUAACUAGGAAUACCAAAAGCGAAGGCAAUCUUAUGGAACACUACUGACGCUGAGGCGCGAAAGCGUGGGGAGCAAACAGGAUUAGAAACCCUAGUAGUCC
rnacentral:rRNA from 1 species